GAGGGUAAUACUCAGUGGUAGAGCACAUGCUUACUGUGCAUGAGGUCCUAGGUUCAAAUCCCCAGUAUCUCCA
rnacentral:tRNA from 1 species